rnacentral:rRNA from 1 species
UGCGGUGAUAUUGUCGGGAGGGUCCACCUGUUCCCAUACCGAACACAGAAGUUAAGCCUCCAUGGAGCCGAUGGUACUUGUCGGGUGACUGACCGGGAGAGUAGGAAGUUGCC